rnacentral:tRNA from 1 species
GCCGGGGUGGUGAAAUUGGUAGACACGCAAGACUUAAAAUCUUGUUUUCAUUAGAAAGUGCGGGUUCAAGUCCCGCCCCUGGUA